UACGUAGGGUGCAAGCGUUGUCCGGAAUUAUUGGGCGUAAAGGGCUCGUAGGCGGUUUGUCGCGUCGGGAGUGAAAACACCGGGCUUAACUCGGUGCUGGCUUUCGAUACGGGCAGACUAGAGGUAUUCAGGGGAGAACGGAAUUCCUGGUGUAGCGGUGAAAUGCGCAGAUAUCAGGAGGAACACCGGUGGCGAAGGCGGUUCUCUGGCUCGUAUCUGACGCUGAGGCGCGAAAGCUAGGGGAGCGAACGGG
rnacentral:rRNA from 1 species